rnacentral:rRNA from 1 species
GACGAACGCUGGCGGCGUGCUUAACACAUGCAAGUCGAACGGAAAGGCCCUGCUUUUGUGGGGUUCUCGAGUGGCGAACGGGUGAGUAACACGUGAGUAACCUGCCCUUGACUUUGGGAUAACUUCAGGAAACUGGGGCUAAUACCGGAUAGGAGCUCCUGCUGCAUGGUGGGGGUUGGAAAGUUUCGGCGGUUGGGGAUGGACUCGCGGCUUAUCAGCUUGCUGGUGGGGUAGUGGCUUACCAAGGCUUUGACGGGUAGCCGGCCUGAGAGGGUGACCGGCCACAUUGGGACUGAGAUAGGGCGCAGACUCGUACGGGAGGCAGCAGUGGGGAAUAUGGCACAAUGGGAGGAAGCCUGAUGCAGAAACGCCGCGGGCGGGAUGACGGCCUUCGGGUUGUAAACCGCUUUCGCCUGUGACGAAGCGUGAGUGACGGUAAUGGGUAAAGAAGCACCGGCUAACUACGUG